AUGUAUAAAGAAAAUCAUGGGGGGAAUGUGAUAUUUUGGAGGAUGCAUAAUCUCUGUGUAAUUUCUUUUUUAUUGUAAAGUUUGUGAAGAUGGACAUGGUGGCUUUAAUGAUGUUCAAACUAAAUUAUGCAUCCUUAAAAAAUUAUAAAGGAUCUUUUACAAAGAUAUAUAAAAUUUUGCAAAUAGAAGAGGGAAGUAACUAAAGUUUAAAAAAGAUCACAAAUGAUAAAAGAAGGAAAUAAAUUGAAAGUGUAUUUUAAUUAGAAUUGUGUUUAAAUUAUGAUCAAGUCAAACUUUUGUAGGAUUGGGUUGAAAAAGCUAGAGCUCAAGAGGAUAAAUAAGACUACAUUGCUUCGAUGGAAUUGUAAUAAGAUUGUUGUGCAUGCUCUUCAUUGGAAAAAGUACACAUAAGUUGAUACAUGGACAUUUCAGAAUGUGAUGGAGAACAAGUUUGAAGGUGUCAAAGCGCUUUAGAGGCGGCCAAGUACUUUUUGUAAAAGAACAAGUUUGAAGACAUUAUACGGCUUACAUUUUGUAAAGUUGACAAAUAUUUUGUAAAGUAUAUCCUUGAUGUUAACCACUUUUGUAAAGCUUCCUACUAAUAUGUACUUCAUUGAAUUUCUAAUA